rnacentral:rRNA from 1 species
AAUCUUGCACAAUGGGGGCAACCCUGAUGCAGCGACGCCGCGUGGGCGAGGAAGGUCUUCGGAUCGUAAAGCCCUUUUCUGCGUGACGAGGACAAGGACGGUAGCGCAGGAAGAAGCGUCGGCUAACUACGUGCCAGCAGCCGCGGUAAAACGUAGGACGCAAGCGUUAUCCGGAGUAACUGGGCGUAAAGGGCGUGCAGGCGGCUGCUCAAGUGGCUCGUGAAAGCCCCCGGCUCAACCGGGGGAGGUCGGGUCAGACUGAGGAGCUAGAGACAGUCAGAGGGACACGGAAUUCCGGGUGUAGUGGUGAAAUGCGUAGAGAUCCGGAGGAACACCAGUGGCGCAGGCGGUGUCCUGGGGCUGAACUGACGCUGAGACGCGAAAGCAUGGGGAGCGAA